rnacentral:rRNA from 1 species
CAGACGGCUCAGUAACACGUGGUCAAGCUAACCUAUGGACGUGGAUAACCUCGGGAAACUGAGAAUAAACCGCGAUAGAUCAUGGUGCCUGGAAUGGCCCAUGGUCGAAAUAGUUUACUGCCGUAGGAUGCGACUGCGGCCUAUCAGUUUGUUGGUGAGGUAAUGGCCCACCAAGACUAUUACAGGUACGGGCUCUGAGAGGAGAAGCCCGGAGAUGGGUACUGAGACACGGACCCAGGCCCUAUGGGGCGCAGCAGGCGAGAAACCUUAGCAAUGUGCGAAAGCACGACUGGGUCAGUCCGAGUGAUUUCUGAUAAAGGAAUCUUUUGCCCGUCCUAAAAGCACGGGCGAAUAAGGGGUGGGCAAGUCUGGUGUCAGCCGCCGCGGUAAUACCAGCACCUCGAGUGGUCAGGACGAUUAUUGGGCCUAAAGCAUCCGUAGCUGGUUUUGCAAGUCUCCGGUUAAAUCCACCUGCUUAACAGAUGGGCCGCUGGAGAUACUACAAAACUAGGGAGUGGGAGAGGCAGACGGUAUUCGGGGGGUAGGGGGUAAAAUCCUCUGAUCCUUUGAGGACCACCAGUGGCGAAGGCGGUCUGCCAGAACACGUUCGACAGUGAGGGAUGAAAGCUGGGGGAGCAAACC